rnacentral:rRNA from 1 species
CCGAUAGCGAACGAGUACUGUGAAGGAAAGGUGAAAAGAACCCCGAGCAGGGGAGUGAAAUAGUUCCUGAAACCAUGCGCCUACAAGCGGUCGGAGCAUCUUACGAUGUGACGGCGUGCCUUUUGCAUAAUGAUCCUACGAGUUACCGUCACUGGCGAGGUUGAGUGUCACGAGACACGUAGCCGCAGUGCAAGCGAGCCUGAAUAG